UUUGCCAUGACACACAUGAACCGUGGCCUCCUCCUUCUGGACUCUGGGUCCUUCACUGCCAGAUUUUCCGUGCUGCUGAGCAUCUUCCUCUCCCAUUCGGCGCGAUGGGGAUGAAGCUGCUCAGGCUGGGGAGAUCGGAAGAGCGUCG